rnacentral:rRNA from 1 species
AUUGAACGCUGGCGGCAUGCUUUACACAUGCAAGUCGAACGGCAGCGCGGGCUUCGGCCUGGCGGCGAGUGGCGAACGGGUGAGUAAUGCAUCGGAACGUGCCCAGUAGUGGGGGAUAGCCCGGCGAAAGCCGGAUUAAUACCGCAUACGACCUGAGGGUGAAAGCGGGGGACCGAAAGGCCUCGCGCUAUUGGAACGGCCGAUGUCGGAUUAGCUAGUUGGUGGGGUAAAGGCUUACCAAGGCGACGAUCCGUAGCUGGUCUGAGAGGACGACCAGCCACACUGGGACUGAGACCCGGCCCAGACUCCUACGGGAGGCAGCAGUGGGUAAUUUUGGACAAUGGGGGCAACCCUGAUCCAGCCAUGCCGCGUGCGGGAAGAAGGCCUUCGGGUUGUAAACCGCUUUUGUUCGGGAAGAAAUCCUCUGGGCUAAUACCCCGGGGGGAUGACGGUACCGGAAGAAUAAGCACCGGCUAACUACGUG